rnacentral:rRNA from 1 species
GGGCAUCCGAAGUCGCUGUGCUAACCGUAAGGGGGCAGGCGCCGAAGGUGAAACCCGUGAUUGGGACUAAGUCGUAACAAGGUAACCGUAGGUGAACCUGCAGAAGGAUCA